rnacentral:rRNA from 1 species
CAGCAGUAGCCGCGGUAAUACAGAGGGUGCGAGCGUUAAUCGGAUUUACUGGGCGUAAAGCGUGCGUAGGCGGCUUCUUAAGUCGGAUGUGAAAUCCCUGAGCUUAACUUAGGAAUUGCAUUCGAUACUGGGAAGCUAGAGUAUGGGAGAGGAUGGUAGAAUUCCAGGUGUAGCGGUGAAAUGCGUAGAGAUCUGGAGGAAUACCGAUGGCGAAGGCAGCCAUCUGGCCUAAUACUGACGCUGAGGUACGAAAGCAUGGGGAGCAAACAGGAUUAGAUACCCGUGUAGUCCCUGUUUCUUAUAC